rnacentral:snoRNA from 1 species
UUUCUGUGGUGAUGAAUUAUGAAAUUCUUCACAUGUCAGACUUCAGAGAUUCUUCCACGAAUCUAUGAGAAGAUAAUUCAUUUUCUGAGCAGAAA